UUUACGCUGAUGUGCGCGCGGGCUUUAUCUCGCAAGCUUCCAAAGCUUCUCGUCUGCAGGUGCCCUGGGUCGCCGCCGAGAAUUCCCGCAAGGGCCUCGGGUCAUUACAGUUUGUCUGGUUGUUGCUGAAACACUCAUCUGGAUUAUCGUCCGAGUCGACUUGCACGGGGCACGCCAGACUCCGUUGUUCAACCCUUGCCACUAGCUGCUCGCUCCCGUAACAUCGCCAAGAAUUCCACGAGCCAGGCACUUCGUUUCCUUUUUUGAGAACAGCUCCCUUUUGGCGCAAAUUGUGCGCAAAUACCACCUUUGCAGUAUAUUAGCAGGGUUUUCGUUUUAGCGCAAAUGGCGCAGCAGUUCCACCACUGGAACUUAUCCCUCAAAAAGUUACUAUGCUAGUGUGGUGGAAACACGUUCGCACUAAGAACUAUCGAAAGCA